GUUACAUUCCGAACCCGGAAGCUAAGCCUCAUAGCGCCGAUGGUACUGCAGGGGGGACCCUGUGGGAGAGUAGGACGCCGCCGAAC
rnacentral:rRNA from 1 species